AAUAAUACGCCUACCCGAACUAACCAAUACACCCUACCCAUAUAAUAAAUCAUACAUUAUAUUUAGAAAAGAAUGUGUAAUUUCAGGUUCGAUUAAAGUUGAGCUUCAUCGACAGCAUGUGGCCACAAACACUUAUUUAGACUCAUCCCUGUGAAUAUGUCUUUAUAGCAUUUUGUGAGAAGUCAAUGAUCAAUUAGGGGUGGGUAAAUGCUUAUAUGACUCAGAAGUUUCCUUUAUAUUUUGUUCCACUAUCUCAGAUGAGAUUUAUAAUUACCUCUUCAUUUCUUCUUCAGGUGCAUCUGGCGUUGAUACAGACAGAGUGUUUGUGAUGGAGGGAGAUUCAGUCACUCUACACACUGGUGUUGAAACAAAACAACGAGACAGAAUUAGAUGGUAUUUCAAUGACACACGCAUCGCUCAAAUCAGUGGAGAUCUCAGGAAGAUCUGUACUAGAUGUUCCUGAGAGAUUCAGAGACAGACUGAAGCUGGAUCAUCAGACUGGAUCUCUGACCAUCAUGAACAUCAGAAACACAGACUCUGGAGAUUAUCAUCUAGAGACCAUAAUCAGCGGCAGCAUCAGUGAAAAGAUCUUCAAUGUCACUAUCACUGGAGGUCCUGGCUCAAAGGCAGUGCAAAUGAAGAGAACGAUGGAGAUGAAGGGAGCAUCAGACACUUUAAACAAUGGUGCAGUAAAUGAACAAGUUCAUUUGAUGACUUGUUUUUUUUUUAUUAAUGAUACUCACAUUAUUUAACUCAGAUUAGGAUAAUAAUACAUAUUACAGAUUUUGUCAGACAAUGUGUCAAUUAGAAAUCAUGAUUUAAGUGCAGAACAGCACCUUGGAAAAGGCAGCUAGUUAAAAUAUAGUAUUAAACUGGUGGUUUCAUAUUCAUUCCAUUUUUUUGACAACAGAAACAGAAAAAAAACAAUGUAAAUGAGAACAACUUUAUUGGGAAUUCUCCUAUAUUCAAUUGCAUAUUAAAUUAUGUGAGCACAGAGGGAAAGAGAAGCAAGCAAAUGAGACUAGGCAGAAUGCAAAUGAUAACGACAUUAUGGAAAUGGAAAUUACCGCAUGCCUUCAUCUAGUGGCUUUAGGUACCUUCCAUUAAAAAUAGCUGGCAACAGUGACUAAGCGAUACAGUGUUUGCAUUUUGUUCCAUAUUGUGUUUUCAUGCAAUGACAUAAAGCUUGUUGCUCAUUAACUGAUCUCACUAACUCUUUUUGAUUAGGAGAGGCCAAAACCAGUGGCUCUGAUGACGGAGAUGAAGCCCCUGUUCUAUCAGGUAAUAUUUCCAGGAAAAGACACAGAUCUGCUCUGCUGCAUUUCAUGUGGCCAGAGUGACUUAACACAGCGCCCAAAGGAAUCUGUUGCAGCUACAUCUUCUCUGUACGGUGCAUCCUCUGCACUUAGGAGAAAAGCAGAAAAUGCUAGAUAUAAUCUAGCUGAAGAAGUAGUGCAGAGAGUGUUGCAGAACAUUUAUAUUGAUGAUUAUCUGAAUUCUGUGUCGUCAGAGAACCAUGCCAUUGUAUCGGUAAAACAGCUCAGAAAUAAGUGUAAACAGACCUUUUAUCAGGACACAGUCUGACAUUCAUUCUCUUAGCCAGCAAUAUGAUAUUUGCUGAUACCCCCAAAACAGGCCACAAUACGAUUAUGAUUCAAUUAGAUUCAGGAGUAUAUUGAUUGAUAUAUUAAUAUUACAAUAUUAUAUGACAUGCUUAUUUUACAUAACCAGUUUGAUUUUAGAGAGAGCUAUCUAAUAAUAUAGAGAGAAAAACAUGAUGACAGCUCAAAAAUUGCACAACAUUAUGCUUAUGUUUAUGGAAAAACUGGUUUCCACAGAUGUCACUAUAAACAAAAGCAGUGCUUGUAAACACUACUUUGCUAAGCAUUAUAAGGGUCAGUAUGAAAAGUCCAUUGUCCAAGAGUCCAUUCUCUUCAGUGGGAAUUAUAAAUUAGGGUAUCAAAAUGAACGUGUUCAUUCAUUCAUUCAUUCAUUCAUUCAUUCAUUUAUUUCAGUUUAACACAUUGAAAAAUUUAAUGCAAUUGUACUGCAAUUAAAAAUGUAAUGCUAGUGUUAAAUGACCAUGAAGAGUUGGAAGAAAAUCAGACGUGUCAGAUCUGCAUUAGGUUUUAAAGAGACAGCAGUGCUUUUAAAGUAAAACUGCAGUGUUGACACAUACAGUCUUUACUGGUAAAUUACCGGUAAAUAACCACUAAGGGAUCAUGUGUGAACAGGACAUUUUUUUAAAAACACCGGUAAAUUCAUUAGGGCAAUUUACCAGUAUGAGAAGUUGUAAAACAUUACCAGUAAAUGAAUGUUCUCAGUGUGAAUGCAGAACGAGAUUACAGGUAUGAGUAUGAGUUCGGUACAUGCUAAUAAUCAGACGUCUAAUCUGGGCCAAUCAUAACAUUCUGACAUAGAUGAUGCAUUCACUCUGUGCGACAACAUUUUUUUCCCCUAUAGUUCAGUCAUUUGUUUUUUGAAGUCGUCUAAGGCGUAUAGACUGCAGGAUCUCUAAGUGCCAGAUGUAGCGUACAAACACAUAGUUCAGUCAUUUGUUUUUGAAGUCGUCUAAGGCGUAUAGACUGCAGGAUCUCUAAGUGCCAGAUGUAGCGUACAAACACUUUUAACACUUAAUGUCACAGCGCAUUUUUUGCUAAAUGAGCACUCACACUGGAAACUGAAAAAAUAUAUGCAGAUAUUUCUGCUGAUUUAAGCAAGUGUGUGUGGGAAAAUGAAAACAUAAGAAACAUGAAUUAGAGAAGUCUAUGAAAUGCAAGGUUGGUGAAUCACCCCUCCAUGUUUACAAAAACAAGUUAGAGGUCAUUACCGAUUAAUGAGGUCACAGAAUUUACUGGUAUUUUGAAACUGAUUUGUGUGAAUGGUGCUUUACAGUUUGUUGAUCUAUUCUGGGUGAAAGAUCACUUCUGUGUGCACGCACACACCUGAAUGAAGCACGCACACAGAAAGCCCCCGCUCAGACAGCACGCGAGUAACAAAUUGAGUUUCUCUUUCGCAUCUUCUUAAUCAAAUACAGUACACACAAAAUUUUGUCAGAAUCACUGUCUUGAUGAGUAAGCUAUUCACAUAAAGACGGUCGGUUAUGUCUUAGGUGAACGUAAACAGUUCUGAAGGUAUCGGAUGUGUGUCAAAGGUAUAACGAAUCUGUCGAUUUCCUGUGUUACUGUUUAUUUGAUGUAUUUCUUUUAUAUUGUUUUUAUUUAUGCUAUUGUUUGUCAUCUGUUUAUGUGGUUACCAUACUUGGCAAAUGUCACGACUUUCACUUUCUUUCAACUACUUAAAGAUAAAUAAAUAAAUAAAUAAAGUUGAUUUAAAAGGACCAAAAUGAUCAAGAACAAAAGUGGCACUACUGUUCUUUGACCUACAGCAACUUUAUAAGUUUACAGUUUAUAAUUUUACAGUACCCAAAUGUAUCAAACCAGCAAAUUUUGGACCUACAGAACUGGCUCAGCUGCAUCAUUUUGCUGAUGUCAGUGGAAAUGGAUACUGUGGUAUGACUUGCAUCUUGCUGAAGAACAAAAAGGGUAAACAAAAAAAACAUAUUUCCAAUGGCAAAAUAUACUUUUAAAACACAAACUGUGUAACCAGAAUGCUCAGUUUAAGACUCUUAUUGUAACUAAUCGUCUAGCAGUCAUUCAAGAAAAACCAGCUUGAAUCCAGUGGAAGUACACCAACACAAUGCUGAAUCCAUUGAAGGAUGAAAAUGACUGAAAAGACCUAAUGACUUUGGUGAGAUUGCUAAUGAUGAUGUUGAGGUUAAGGAACCUGAUGCUGAUGCUGUCGACUACUGCUCCAAGUGCUAUCAGUUGAGAAGAGCAGUAUGUAGCUGAUCUGAAAUAAUGGCCAUGCUUCAUACAGAUGUCCAUCAGCUGUUUUUAUUGCAUUCCUUUUUUAAAG
rnacentral:lncRNA from 1 species